rnacentral:rRNA from 1 species
UGGGGAAUAUUGCACAAUGGGCGCAAGCCUGAUGCAGCCAUGCCGCGUGUGUGAAGAAGGCCUUCGGGUUGUAAAGCACUUUCAGCGAGGAGGAAGGGUAGUGUGUUAAUAGCACAUUGCAUUGACGUUACUCGCAGAAGAAGCACCGGCUAACUCCGUGCCAGCAGCCGCGGUAAUACGGAGGGUGCAAGCGUUAAUCGGAAUUACUGGGCGUAAAGCGCACGCAGGCGGUUUGUUAAGUCAGAUGUAAAAUCCCCGCGCUUAACGUGGGAACUGCAUUUGAAACUGGCAAGCUAGAGUCUUGUAGAGGGGGGUAGAAUUCCAGGUGUAGCGGUGAAAUGCGUAGAGAUCUGGAGGAAUACCGGUGGCGAAGGCGGCCCCCUGGACAAAGACUGACGCUCAGGUGCGAAAGCGUGGGGAGCAAACA